rnacentral:rRNA from 1 species
AGAGUUUGAUCCUGGCUCAGGAUGAACGCUAGCUACAGGCUUAACACAUGCAAGUCGAGGGGCAUCAGUUUGGUUUGCUUGCAAACCAAAGCUGGCGACCGGCGCACGGGUGAGUAACACGUAUCCAACCUGCCUCAUACUCGGGGAUAGCCUUUCGAAAGAAAGAUUAAUAUCCGAUAGCAUAUAUUUCCCGCAUGGGUUUUAUAUUAAAGAAAUUCGGUAUGAGAUGGGGAUGCGUUCCAUUAGUUUGUUGGCGGGGUAAACGGCCCACCAAGACUACGAUGGAUAGGGGUUCUGAGAGGAAGGUCCCCCANAUUGGAACUGAGACACGGUCCAAACGUCCUACGGGAGGCCA